UUUAAAUAUUUCAGAACUGCAGCUUUGCUAGGACGUCAAUAUAAGAAGAAAGGCGGAGCCAUUUCGCUCGACUGUGUCAAGGGUCAUAAGAUUAAGUAGAAGUACCAAACCUUAACAAUAUGUCUAAGCAGAGGUUGGAAGGCAAGGUGGCCAUCAUCACUGGCGCGGCCAGUGGGAUCGGGGAGGCCGCCGCAAGGAUCUUCGCAGCCCACGGCGCCCUCGUCGUCAUCGCCGACAUCCAGGACGAGCUGGGCGCCGGCGUCGUCGCCUCCAUCGGCCCGGACAAGUGCAAGUACAAGCACUGCGACGUGCGCAGCGAGAAGGAAGUAGAGGAGCUCGUGGGCUUCGCCAUCAAGGCCUACGGCCGGCUCGACAUCAUGUUCAGCAACGCCGGGAUCUCGGAGAAGAUAACCAGCAGAAUUCUGGACUUGGACUUCGACGUGCUCGAUAAUGUCAUCGCCGUCAACGUCCGGGGCGUAGCUGCGACGAUCAAGCAUGCAGGGAGGGCGAUGGUGGCCAGCGGGACACGAGGAUCGAUCAUAUGCACGGCGAGCGUCGCGGCGACGAGGGGCGGAUGGGGGCAGGCAGUGUACACAACGACGAAGAAUGCGGUGGUCGGGCUCGUGCGAUCGGCGGCAGCGGAGCUUGGAAGGCAUGGAAUACGAGCGAACUGCGUGUCGCCGGGCGGCGUGGCGACGCCGUUUGCACAGAAUCUUACUGGGAUGAGCCAGAGUCAGACAGAAGAGUUUUUCGAGGGCACGCUGGUGUUGAAGGGAGGAGGGCCGUUGAAGGCAAGUGAUACUGGGGAGGCUGUUCUCUUCCUGGCGUCCGACGAGUCGGCGUUCGUCACCGGACAAAACCUGUUCGUUGAUGGGGGGGUGACUGCUGUUGGUGCGACCCCUCCACUCCCUGCAGCCCAACUGAAAUGAAACGAUGCACUUCGAGUGUUGCGCGCAAAGUGUAAUCAACCGAAGGCAUGCCUUCUUAAAAUCAUUAUAAUAAUGUAGUAAUAAAAGCCAAGGCAUGUGUUGCUUUGGAUUAUUGGGAUAGAGUUUAAUUUCGUUGUUUUGAGUUUGCUAGUAUUAUAAUUAGAACACUGGCUUGUGCCCAGGCGGCUUAAUUUGCAGGCUAUAAAGUUGGAUUUUUGAUAAAAUUUUAUUUGAAUGAGAAAAAUUAUAAACUA